CCAUCCAACCUCUUUCUUUUGUCUGUCUGUAUAGAUCUCGAAGCGGCCAUUGGGUGAUCCAACGGUUAAUGUUGCGAAAGGAGGUGAUACAACCUCUCCCCUCUAUCAAAAACCAAAAAAAGCCCUUCCAGUGAGAUGAUGCAUAGGGAAAACAAAAUGUUUUGAGAGAUUGCAGGAAGGCUUUGUGAUAUAAAUCUUUAUCAAUC
rnacentral:lncRNA from 1 species